GGGGGGCUCAGGAAGGUUUUUGGGGUACCCAGGGAGGAUUUGGGGGGCUCAGGAAGGUUUUGGGGGAGGUUUCGGGGGUCUCAGGCAGCUUUUUGGGGUCUCAGGCAGGUUUUUAGGGAGGUUUUGGGGUGCCCAGGCAGGAUUUUGGGGUGCUCAGACAGGUUUUGGAGAGGUUUUGGGGGUCUCAGGGGAGUUUUUGGGAUUCCCAGACAGGAUUUUGGGGGUCCCAGACAGAUUUUGGGGUCUCAGGAAGGUUACUGGGCAGGUUUUGGGGGUCCCAAGCUGGUUUUUGGGGAGGUUUUGGGGGUCCCAGACAGAUUUUUGGGGUGCCCAGACAGGUUUUGGGGGUCCCAGACAGAUUUUGGGGUGCCCAAACAGGAUUUUGGGGUGCCCAUGCCCAGUCAGAUUUUUGGGGUCCCAGACAGGUUUUGUGGAGGUUUCGGGGGUCUCAGGCAGCUUUUUGGGGUCUCAGGCAGGUUUUUAGGGAGGUUUUGGGGUGCCCAGGCAGGAUUUUGGGAUUCCCAGACAGGUUUUGGGGUCCCCAGACUAAUUUUUGGGGUGCCCAGGCCAGUUUUUGGGGUCCCCAGUCAGGUUUUGGGGUCUCAGGAAGGUUUCUGGGCAGGUUUUGGGGGCCCCAGGCCGGUUUUUGGGAUUCCCAGACAGGUUUUGGGGGUCCCAGACAGGUUUUGGGGUGCUCAGACAGGUUUUUGGGGAGGUUUUGGGAGUCUCAGGCAGGUUUUUGGAGCUCAGGGGGUUUUUUGGGGUGCCGAGACAGAUUUUUGGGGUCCCAGACAGAUUUUUGGGGUCCCAGACAGGUUUUAGGGGAGGUUUUUGGGGUGCUCAGACAGGGUUUUGGGGACGUUUUGGGGGUCCCAGACAGAUUUUUGGGGUCCCCAGGCCGAUUUUGGGGGUCCCCGCGGUGUUUUUGGGGUGCCCCUCACCCAUCUGCAUGCAGAUCUCUCCGAUGGCCCAGGUGGCGUUGUUGCAGACCGAGAUGAACUCGGGGUUCAGGUUGGUCCCCAGGAUGGGCAUGAACUCGGCUGGGGGAGGGGGGAGGGGGCUCAGCGCGGCCCCCGCCGCCCCCAGCCCCAUUUCAGGGGUGCCCCCAGCCCCAUUUGGGGGUGUCCCCGGCCGGGGGCACCCCGGAACUCACCGAUGCAGGGCUUGACGUGCACGAAGCAGGCCUUGGUGAGAUCGCCCAGGAGGG
rnacentral:lncRNA from 1 species